GUGGUGCAUGGCUGUCGUCAGCUCGUGUCGUGAGAUGUUGGGUUAAGUCCCGCAACGAGCGCAACCCUCGUCCUAUGUUGCCAGCACGUAAUGGUGGGGACUCGUAGGAGACUGCCGGGGUCAACUCGGAGGAAGGUGGGGACGACGUCAAGUCAUCAUGCCCCUUAUGCCCAGGGCUGCAAACAUGCUACAAUGGCCGGUACAAAGGGCUGCUAUACCGCGAGGUCGAGCGAAUCCCAUAAAGCCGGUCUCAGUUCGGAUUGGAGUCUGCAACUCGACUCCAUGAAGUCGGAGUCGCUAGUAAUCCCGGAUCAGCAACGCCGGGGUGAAUAC
rnacentral:rRNA from 1 species